rnacentral:tRNA from 1 species
GUUUCCGUGGUGUAGUGGUUAUCACGUCCGCUUAACAUGCGGAAGGUCGCAGGUUCGGUCCCUGCCGGAAACA